GACGAACGCUGGCGGCGUGCUUAACACAUGCAAGUCGAACGCUGAAGCCCAGCUUUUGUUGGGUGGAUGAGUGGCGAACGGGUGAGUAACACGUGAGUAACCUGCCUCCUUCUUUGGGAUAACGCCCGGAAACGGGUGCUAAUACUGGAUAUUCACUGGUCUUCGCAUGGGGGUUGGUGGAAAGGGUUUUUCUGGUGGGGGAUGGGCUCGCGGCCUAUCAGCUUGUUGGUGGGGUGAUGGCCUACCAAGGCUUUGACGGGUAGCCGGCCUGAGAGGGUGACGGGUGGAGUGGGGGAUGAGAUACGGCCCGACUGAGACAGGGAGGAAGCGGUGGGGAAAGUGGGCAAAGGGGGAAAGGCCGGAAGGGGCGAGGCCCUGAGGGGAUGGAGGCCUUCGGAUUGUGAACCUCUUUCGCUCAUGGUCAAGCCGCAACAAUGGUUGUGGUGAGGGUAGUGGGUAAAGAAGCGCCGGCUAACUACGUG
rnacentral:rRNA from 1 species